UUUGAACCUCCACAGUACCUCAAGGUUCACAUCCUCCACCCUCCAUAUGUGCCUGUGAAACACCGCAGCCUCUUGAUGGAGUACGUCUCACUGGCUAAGACCAGACUGGCUGACCUCAAGGAGUCAGUGGAGGACAUGGGUUUAUAUGAGGAUGUUUCGGCUGCAGGUACAUCGGUGCAG